rnacentral:rRNA from 1 species
GACGAACGCUGGCGGCGUGCUUAACACAUGCAAGUCGAACGGAAAGACCCUGCCUUUGUGGGGUGCUCGAGUGGCGAACGGGUGAGCAACCCGUGAGUAACCUGCCCUUGACUUUGGGAUAACUUCAGGCAACUGGGGCUAAUCCCGGAUAAGAGCUCCCGCUGCUUGGUGGGGGUUGGUUAGUUUCGGCGGUUGGUGAUGGACUCGCGGCUUAUCAGCUUGUUGCGGGGGUGGUGGCUUAGCAAGGCUUUGAAGGGUGGCAGGCCUGGGCGGGUGACCGGACACAUUGGGACGGGGAUGCGGCCCAGACUCCUAUCGGACGCAACGGUGGGGAAUAUAACACAGUGGGCGGAAGCCUGGUGCGACAACGCCGCGUGGGGUGUGAGGGGCUGCGGGUUGUAAACCACUGUCGCCUGUGACGAGGCGUGAAUGACGGUAACGGGUGAAGAAGCACCGGCUAACUACGUG